UGCAGUCGAGCGGUGGACACGGAAGCUUGCUCUGUGGGAUCAGUGGCGAACGGGUGAGUAACACGUGAGCAACCUGCCCCUGACUCUGGGAUAAGCGCUGGAAACGGCGUCUAAUACUGGAUAUGUGACGUGACCGCAUGGUCUGCGUUUGGAAAGAUUUUUCGGUUGGGGAUGGGCUCGCGGCCUAUCAGCUUGUUGGUGAGGUAAUGGCUCACCAAGGCGUCGACGGGUAGCCGGCCUGAGAGGGUGACCGGCCACACUGGGACUGAGACACGGCCCAUACUCCUACGGGAGGCAGCAGUGGGGAAUAUUGCACAAUGGGCGGAAGCCUGAUGCAGCAACGCCGCGUGAGGGAUGACGGCCUUCGGGUUGUAAACCUCUUUUAGCAGGGAAGAAGCGAAAGUGACGGUACCUGCAGAAAAAGCGCCGGCUAACUACGUGCCAGCAGCCGCGGUAAUACGUAGGGCGCAAGCGUUAUCCGGAAUUAUUGGGCGUAAAGAGCUCGUAGGGCGGUUUGGUCGCGUCUGCUGUGAAAUCCCUGAGGCUCAAUCCUCGGGGCCUGCAGUGGGUACGGGCAGACUAGAGUGCGGUAGGGGAGAUUGGAAUUCCUGGUGUAGCGGUGGAAUGCGCAGAUAUCAGGAGCGAACACCGAUGGCGAAGGCAGAUCUCUGGGCCGUAACUGACUGCUGAGGAGCGAAAGGGUGAGGGAGCAAACAGGCUUAGAUACCCUGGUAGUCCACCCCGUGAAACGUUGGCGAACUAGAUUGUGUGGGUCCAUAUCCACGGAUUCCGUGACGCAGCUAACGCAUUAAGUUCCCCGCCUGGGGAGUACGGCCGCAAGGCUAAAACUCAAAGGAAUUGACGGGGACCCGCACAAGCGGCGGAGCAUGCGGAUUAAUUCGAUGCAACGCGAAGAACCUUACCAAGGCUUGACAUAUACGAGAACGGGCCAGAAAUGGUCAACUCUUUGGACACUCGUAAACAGGUGGUGCAUGGUUGUCGUCAGCUCGUGUCGUGAGAUGUUGGGUUAAGUCCCGCAACGAGCGCAACCCUCGUUCUAUGUUGCCAGCACGUAAUGGUGGGAACUCAUGGGAUACUGCCGGGGUCAACUCGGAGGAAGGUGGGGAUGACGUCAAAUCAUCAUGCCCCUUAUGUCUUGGGCUUCACGCAUGCUACAAUGGCCGGUACAAAGGGCUGCAAUACCGUGAGGUGGAGCGAAUCCCAAAAAGCCGGUCCCAGUUCGGAUUGAGGUCUGCAACUCGACCUCAUGAAGUCGGAGUCGCUAGUAAUCGCAGAUCAGCAACGCUGCGGUGAAUACGUUCCCGGGUCUUGUACACCCCGCCCGUCAAGUCAUGAAAGUCGGUAACACCGAAGCCGGUGGCCUAACCCUUGUGGAGGA
rnacentral:rRNA from 1 species